CCUCUCAGUCGCAAGUUCCUCCAAUUUCAUAUUCUAGGACAACAUUACCAGUUCAGAGGCUUCCUUUCGGCUUAAGCCUUGCUCCAAGGACUUUCUCAAAAAUCUUAGUGGCCCUUAUAGCACAUCUGAGAAAACAAAGGCUAGUUAUAUUUCACUACCUAGACAACACUUUGAUAGUUGCUCCGUAACUUCAAGAAGCCUCUCGUCACAAUAUACAGGCCCUGAACUGUCAACAAGAACAUGGUUGGAUUUUCAACAAAGAGAAGAGUGCCCUGAAUCCUUCACAACAAGCAACUUUGCUGGGUGCCUACAUAGACACCAAAGGAGCAAAGGUCUUCCUAUCACAAGAGAGGAUAAGGAGACUGGAAAACAAGAUUCUGUCUCUGUCCUCCCUUAAUCACAGCCAAGGAGUACAUUCUGGGCUUGCUAACCUAAACCAUAGGAUUAGUUCGCUGGGCUCAAUGGAAUUUAAGAACAAUCCAAUUACAUUUCUGAAUCUGUUCAACCGCUAUCACAACAACUGUAAACAAAUUAUUCAAAUUGCACAAGCAACAAAAGAUCAAUUGGUAUGGUGGCUACAGUGAGACAAUCUAUGAAGAAGUUUUCCUUUAGAUCCCCCUUGGCAAAUUAUCACCACGGAUGCAAGCAUGACAGGUUGAGGUGCUCACAUGGAAUCUAUAUGGAUACAAGGCACUUGGAACCCAUCAUAGAGGUACGUUCAC